rfam:Dipodomys ordii contig_29563, whole genome shotgun sequence.
GGUGGCUCAGUGGUAGAGUGCUUGCCUAGCACGCAUGAAGCCCUGGGUUCGAUUCCUCAGUACCA